CUAUUGUACACUAAUAAAUGAGUGAAACUUGGAACGAUACAGAAAAUAUUAGCAUGGCCACUGCGCAAGGAUGACCCACAAAAUCUUGUGCGUUUCGCAUUUUUU